rnacentral:rRNA from 1 species
CCUACGGGAGGCAGCAGUGGGGAAUAUUGCACAAUGGGCGAAAGCCUGAUGCAGCGACGCCGCGUGAGGGAUGACGGCCUUCGGGUUGUAAACCUCUUUCAGUAGGGACGAAGCGCAAGUGACGGUACCUACAGAAGAAGCACCGGCUAACUACGUGCCAGCAGCCGCGGUAAUACGUAGGGUGCGAGCGUUGUCCGGAAUUAUUGGGCGUAAAGAGCUCGUAGGCGGUUUGUUGCGUCGGCUGUGAAAACCCUACAGCUUAACUGUGGGCCUGCAGUCGAUACGGGCAGACUUGAGUUCGGCAGGGGAGACUGGAAUUCCUGGUGUAGCGGUGAAAUGCGCAGAUAUCAGGAGGAACACCGGUGGCGAAGGCGGGUCUCUGGGCCGAUACUGACGCUGAGGAGCGAAAGCGUGGGGAGCGAACAGGAUUAGAUACCCUGGUAGUCCACGCCGUAAACGGUGGGUGCUAGGUGUGGGGGACUUCCACGUCCUCCGUGCCGCAGCUAACGCAUUAAGCACCUCGCCUGGGGAGGACGGCGCGAGACGAACUACAAGAGAGUAGCGNGAGAGAGCGACGACGACGACGACGGAGGAGG